rnacentral:rRNA from 1 species
CGCCUCUUGCUGGAUAUAAGAGGUCUAGCCUGCCCAGUGUUUUAAUCAACGGCCGCGUGAUUUAAGCGCGCGAAGGUAGCGUAAUAAUUUGUUCUUUAAAUGAGGACUUGUAUCAAUGGCAUCACGAGGGUUAUACUGUCUCCUCUCCCCAAUCAGUGAAACUAAUCUCCCUGUGAAAAAGCAGGAAUAAACCAAUAAGACGAGAAGACCCCAUGGAGCUUAAAACACAGCAACAACCCUAAUUAGUUAACCUAUAUAAUUUUAAGCCCUGUAUGCUAGUUUUAGGUUGGGGUGACCGCGGAGCAAAACAAAGCCUCCACAACGAAAAGGGCUUACACCCUUAUCCAAGAGACACACCUCUAAGAAUUAUAAUAAUAACGUAUAAUGAUCCGACCAUCGACCAACGGACCAAGUUACCCUGGGGAUAACAGCGCAAUCCACUUUAAGAGUCCCUAUCGACGAGUGGGCUUACGACCUCGAUGUUGGAUCAGGAUAUCCCAGUGGUGCAGCCGCUACUAAAGGUUUGUUUGUUCAACAAUUAAAAUCCU